rnacentral:lncRNA from 1 species
AAAUUGGCAAUGUCGCAACUACAAUCUCUACCUCAAUUAUGUUUGAUUCCACUACUUCAGAUUUCCAUGUUAACAUAUCCAUACAUUAUAAUUGCACAGUCCUCAUGGAUACUGCAAAAAAAGACGAAGAGUGCUAAAAGCGAUUCGAAAGGCAUCAAUGCAGCCAUACAAACAAAAGUGUGUAUCAAGGAAGAUUGAAAGCCUUAGUGCCUGAUUGGAUAUGCGUUAGUGUUCACGAAACGUAAGUUUGCGGGAUAACCGAGGCAAAGUAACCGUGAUUUUAAGAAGCUAGGAAAGCAAGCUUUUGCAGU